rnacentral:lncRNA from 1 species
CUGAACAGAAAUUCAUCAAAGGCUGUCAACCACAACCUUUCAGCUGAGUCACUUCUAACUCCUGACUUACGGAAACAGCAUGGCUGAGCAGACUUCUAAAACUAUGAGAAGAAAAAGCAGAGAGAUGAGACCCUAUAGUGAAUGUGUUCUAUGGACAAUGGGCAACAGUGCAUGGAUUGUACACCUCAGUUGUGAUGAACCAGGUGGGCCAAGACAUUGCUGUGCAGGACAUCACAAAGGCUGUAAUGCAGUGGCCCAGUCAUGACUUACUGCAGCCUCAACCUCCGGGACUCAAGCAAUCCUCUCACCCUAGCCUCCUGAG